rnacentral:lncRNA from 1 species
UAUUAGUUCUACAAAUUUCCUUAAAAUCAAUAUCACCAAUGACCUUAAAUUCACCAUCCAAAUGGCUUCUCAAUGUGGCUGAUCAGACCACAAGGGGGAGCCCUGAUAGAGGUCAAAAGUCAUACCACCCUUUCAGAACCAUGUUCCUUACUACAUUAGACCAAUUAAAGAAAAACCUUCAACAUUUUCUACAUAUUUUAUCUCAGGUUCCCAGAACAUUUCCCUUAUCCAAAGACUUCACGUGUUUAAUUAAAACUGAGAAAACAAAACUUCAACGGCUCCAUGUAUGUAUAACUUCUAAGAUUCCAUAUGUGUGUGUGUACCCCUUUAAGAUAUCGUGUCUUCUAGGUGUACAGCAAAUGGAAAUCUCACCAAAUCCAAAAGGAAUAGUAUAUCCCAACAUAGUAUUUUAAAGAUACCAACAAAUAGUUAUACACGAUUUGUUGUGUAUGGGUAUUUGCUAACCCUAGUUAAAAACAAACACAACAUUUCCAGGCCUUUUUCAAUUUGGUAGAAAUAUGCCUCUCUCACUCACUCCCUCACUCCAUUGCUCAACAUGGUGUUGAGCGAUCUCCGUGAAUUCCAGCACACUCUUAGCUGUGAUUCCCACCACCUUUUCACAUUCCACCCGCACCUGGUCUGGCAACCCUUGCAUACAGUUAGCAAGGAAUAAGUGCUUCAUGGUGUCUUUCUCUGGUUCUUCAUUCCAAGCCUGCCUCCAGAGGCCCCUUGCCUUUUUCAUGUAUACGGGCACACUCUCCUCUUCCUCCAGUGUCAGUGUCCGCAUCAGCUGAGGUCUUGGCUGGGUCGGGUAUUUGCACCUGACAGCGUCCCAUGCUUGUCCUCGGUAUUGAUCAAACCUGGUAGCUGCUCCCAGUCCUGCAGCAGUCAUGACUUCUCUGUAUUCUUGGUCUCCCAUACACCUGUUCAUUUCCGCGGCCAUAUCACCUACCGUGAGUUGGUCAGCCGCCGUCAGACUUUCAAAUGCUUUUACCCAUCUAUCCCCUGACUCCUCAGGCGCAGGCAGGCUAUCGAUUAGGGUCUGUAUAUCCCGGUGAGCCCAUGGCUUAUACACUGCUGUACCUCCGGGUGUAUCCCUCAGCGGAUACAGCCUCAUUGUCAUCCUUUCAUGACUCCUGCUUCUCGUGUGGUAUGUUGGGGCAUCCCCUGGGUUCCACAUGUCCCCUUCAAAUGUUCCACACAGAACUUUGGGUUCUCUGUCUCUCCUUUUUCCCUCCUAUGUCUAUGCAGUGGCCCCUCUCUAGGUGGCCUGGUCUGCCACUUCGAUCUUGCUCUUCGCCAAGUUCUCACAGUCUUUUCUAGUAUUCUUAUCUGUACUUCUCCUUGUUUCACUUCCUCUUCCAUUUCUUCCAACUUUCUGCGUCUUUGUCUCUCGGCUUCCAUUCUCUCCAUUUCCAUUUGUUCCAGCUUUUUCAGGGUCUGUCUCUCAGCUUCCAUUCUCUCUCUCUCUCUCUCUGUCGUCUCAGGGUCUUUCCACUGUAUCAGGUCAUCUGAUACUACGCUGCCACUUUCGCUUCUUCCUACUAGGCUCAUGCUUUCAAUGCCAGCUUCCAGUCUGCUCAGGUUGUUCACCCCGUCUCUCAUUGCUUUUGCUGUCUCAAGUAGAGCAGCCACCUCCUCUCUCCUAUCGCUCACCUUGCACCACUGCUCCCCUUCCUCUUUAUCCGGGCGUUUGUGGUAGCUGACCGCUGCUGACACAUCUAAAACUGGAGCCAUGAUCUUUGGAACUUCAUACGGCGGGGGUGCUGAGGGAAGGGCAGGAUAGAGCCUGGAUCGUUUCAAUUGUUCUUGUUCUUGUCCUUCUUUCCACAUUUUCUUUAGUUUUUCCAGCAUCGCCAAACCUAUGCGCUCCAUCAACCUAGCUUUUUCCAUCACUUCCUUGUGCUUUCCUUUUCGUGGCUCUCCCUCUUGUUUCCAUUCUCCUUCAGCUUUUGCUGAUUUUAUUUUCAGCGUCUCUAAUAUUCGUCCUGGUUCCCCCUCUACUGGGACUCCUUCAGGUGAUGUGAUACAGCCAUCAUCCACCCAUUCUUUGUAUAAUUUUUCUCCUCUUCUUUUCCAUUCUUUACCGUCUUUUCCCCCUUUUACUUCUAGUGUAGAUAUUAGGGCCUUCAAUAUCCGCUCCAUUUCCCGCCCCGCCAUAUAUGCUUUUCGGUUGUUAACUAAUAACUUUUCAAAAUGUACCACUACUUUAUCAUCCCCCAAUACUUCCCUGAAUUUUACCCGUUAGCUUAUACAGCGUCUAAAACAAAGUAUUCUCCGACUUGUUUACAGACAUCACCCGUUAGUUACAUUUUUUUAUAUAUAUAUAUAUAUAUUUUUUUUUUUAACCUAGCCUCAAUGUGCUCACAAUUACGGAUCUACAGAACCUAAAACAUUAAAUAUUUCCCCGAACCUAGCCGUAAUAUGUUCACACUUACGGACCUUGCCGGUAGGACAAUAUUAUUAUUCCUAAAAUGUUUAAUAUUUCCCCGAACCUAACUGUAAUAUAUAUCCAUAUUUACGGACCUUGCCGGUAGGACAAUAUUCCUUUCCAAUAGUUCCCUGUACUUUUAGAACCUAGCCUGUGGUACGUUCGCGACCUACAGGACCUUGCCUAAGAGUUUAUGUAUUUCUCCGAACCCACCCGUAAUACGUCUCGAUUACGGACCUUGCCGAACCUAGUCUGUGGUACGUUCACGACCUACAAGACCUUGCCUAAGAGUUUAUGUAUUUCUCCGAACCCAGCCGUAAUACGUCUCGAUUACGGACCUUGCCGGUAAGACAAUACGCCAAUAACGGACCUUGCCGGAUUUGUGAAACACACCGUCCGACGACAGCGAUGCCCAAUCAGCCGGACAAAUUCCAGCGAAGUCCUUCUACCAGAAUCACGUCAGGGUCAACAAUUGUCGGAUUGCGUCAAUCGAAUCUG